rnacentral:rRNA from 1 species
GACGAAGGGGGCUAGCGUUGUUCGGAAUUACUGGGCGUAAAGCGCGUGUAGGCGGUUGCCAUAGUCAGGUGUGAAAGCCUUGAGCUUAACUCAAGAAAUGCACUUGAUACUGGGCGACUAGAGGACCGGAGAGGAUAGUGGAAUUCCCAGUGUAGUGGUGAAAUACGUAGAGAUUGGGAAGAACACCGGUGGCGAAGGCGGCAUCCUGGACCAACACUGACGCUGAGUGAGCGAAAGCCAGGGGAGCAAACGGG